AUCAGUUAUCUGACAGUUCUGGAGACCAGAAACGCUAACAUCAAGCUGUAGGCCGGUUCCCGCCUUGCCCAGCGUCUAGAGGCGCCCCCAUCCCUCCACUCAGGGCCCCUUUCUCCCCCUUCACAGCCUCAGCGCAGCCUCUUCCCGUUUCUCUCUGACUCCCACCCUCCCGUCUCCUCUCGUGAGGCUGCCACGAGGACCCUCUCCUGUCUCAGCGUCCUGCCCUC
rnacentral:lncRNA from 1 species